rnacentral:rRNA from 1 species
GAUGAACGCUGGCGGCGUGCCUAAUACAUGCCAGUCGAGCGAACAGACGAGGAGCUUGCUCCUCUGACGUUAGCGGCGGACGGGUGAGUAACACGUGGAUAACCUACCUAUAAGACUGGGAUAACUUCGGGAAACCGGAGCUAAUACCGGAUAAUAUAUUGAACCGCAUGGUUCAAUAGUGAAAGACGGUUUUGCUGUCACUUAUAGAUGGAUCCGCGCCGCAUUAGCUAGUUGGUAAGGUAACGGCUUACCAAGGCGACGAUGCGUAGCCGACCUGAGAGGGUAAUCGGCCACACUGGAACGGAGACACGGUCCAGACUCCUACGGGAGGCAGCAGUAGGGAAUCUUCCGCAAUGGGCGAAAGCCUGACGGAGCAACGCCGCGUGAGUGAUGAAGGUCUUCGGAUCGUAAAACUCUGUUAUUAGGGAAGAACAAAUGUGUAAGUAACUAUGCACGUCUUGACGGUACCUAAUCAGAAAGCCACGGCUAACUACGUG